CAGAACGUUGACGAAUAUAUAGAUCAGCUGACCAAGAAUGAAUUAUCAUCACCACCCAAAAAGAUGAAGCACACCCAGGUUAGCAAAGGUAUGCCAGAUUCUACAUGUUCAAAGAAUGACAACAGUUAGUCCAUCAUGAAAUACAUCAAGGUAUGAGGUUCCAUCACUUUUGGUCCUGAUACUUUUAUGUACAUAUUAACCUGAUGUUUAAACCUUCCUAAAACAGUGUCUAUGCAAGAAAAGCUAGGUCACUUUUGAUCAGUAGACUCUUAUUUGCACCUUGCACACAUAGAAAAGGCCCCAUCACUUUUGGUCACAAGACUUUUAUGUAUAUAUUAACCUGAUGUUGAAGCCUUCCUAGAACUAUGUGUGUAUGCAAGAAAAACUAUGUCACUUCUGGUCAGUAGACUUUUAUGUACAUACGACUCCACUGUUGGAGCCUUUCUACAACUAUGCUUGUCUAUGUAAACUCUGCAGAUACAUUAUUACUGGACACUUAAGUAUGCUAGUUUAAUACAACUUGCUGCUUAUUG